AAUGCAAUAGCUGGGUCAUAUGGUUUUCAAUUCCUGUUCUUUUGAGGAAUCUCCAGACUUCUUUCUAAACCAAUUGUACUAAUUUUCAUUCCCACCAACAAU
rnacentral:pre_miRNA from 1 species